rnacentral:lncRNA from 1 species
GUUAUAAAUCAUGAGUGGAUUGCUAUUAACCAAGACAAGAAGAGAAGGCCCAUCAGGCCACGACCAGGCCCAGCCGUGGCCGCAUCCGGAGAAGAGAGAGUCGGCCACUCUUUGGCCGACUAUAGGAUUAUGAUGUUUUCCUUUUAUCUUCAUCUUUAUCUUUAGUAGUUUUCCUAUUUCCUCUUGGAUUAGGUUUUGUACUUUUUCCAUUAUAUAAAGGGAACAUAUUAUUCAGAAAUAAGAGACACGAUUUCCCUAUUCUUUUACAACACGUUAUCAGCACGAUAGCCUCUAAAACCCUGAGAGAAAAUAGAAACCUAAAAGCUUAAAACCGGCGACUCCCCUUAAACCCUAGACACGUUCUUCGUCCGUUCUAAAAGCCAAGACGUCUGUGGGUGUCUGUCAGCACACAUAGGACGUCCGUGUGUGUCCGUCAGCACACACAGGACGUCCGUUGCUGUCUGUGUGUGUCCGUGUGUGUCCGUCAUCACACACCGGACGUCCGUGGCUGUCCAUCAGUACACAUAUCAGCACGUUGGUCCUUGGACUCAGCACGCUGACCCUUCCCGUGGACUGUUCGGGGGAUUUUGGCCCAAGUGGGCUGUCUGUUCAGUACACACAGGAAGUCCGUGGUUGUCCGCCAGCACACACAGGGCGUCCGUGGCUCUCCGUGUGUGUCUGUGUGUGUCCGUCUGUGUCCGUCAGCACACACAGGACGUCCGUGGCUGUCCAUCAGUACACAUAUCAGCACGAUGGUCCUUGGACUCAUCACGCUGGCCCUUCCCAUGGGCUGUUCGGGUGAUUUUGACCCACGUGGCUGUCUGUUCAGUACACACAGGAUGUCCGUGGGUGUCCACCAGCACACACAGUACGUCCGUGGCUGUCCGUGUGUGUCCGUCAGCACGCUGGUCCUUGGAUUCAGCACGCUGGCCCUUCCCGUGGACUGUUCGGUUGAUUUUGGCCCACGUGGCCUGUCUGUUCAGUACACACAGGACGUCCGUGUGUGUCUGUCAGCACACACAGGACAUCCGUGUGUGUCCGUCGGCACACACAGGACGUCCAUGGCUGUCCGUCAGCACACAGAGAACGUCCGUGGCUGUUCAUCAGUACACAUAUCAGCACGCUGGUCCUUCCCUUGGCUGAUUUUGGACAACCAUAGACUGUCCGUGGACAGCCGAUCAGUACAUAUAUCAGCACGCUGACCACACAUAUCAGCAUGCUCGUCCUUCCCAUGGACUGUUCGUGUACUGAUUUUGGACAACUGAUGCACCUUGUCAGUACACAUAUCAGCACGCUGGCCCUUUCCGUGAACUGUUCGUGUACUGAUUUUGGACAACUGAUUCACCUUGUCAGUACACAUAUCAGCACGCUGGCCCUUUCCGUGAACUGUUCGUGUACUGAUCUGGACAUGAGCUCGAGUUUUGAUGGACUGGACUGUCCAAGUCAGUCUGAUAGAUGCUAGCCCGAGUUCUAAUGAACUGAUGGUUCAAGUGUACUUAUGCUGGCUCGACUUUUCAUAAUCUCACCAAGUGUUUGUUAUAAAUCAUGAGUGGAUUGCUAUUAACCAAGACAAGAAGAAAAGGCCCAUCAGGCCACGACCAGGCCCAGCCGUGGCCGCGUCCGGAGGAGAGAGAGUCGGCCACUCUUUGGCCGACUAUAGGAUUAUGAUGUUUUCCUUUUAUCUUCAUCUUUAUCUUUAGUAGUUUUCCUAUUUCCUCUUGGAUUAGGUUUUGUACUUUUUCCAUUUAUCUCUUCCAUAAAACCCCUAUAUAAAGGGAACGUAUUAUUCAGAAAUAAGAGACACGAUUUC